CUGAUAAGAAUUAUAAGACAAUCAUCAUGACUGAGAACGUGACGAAGUCUAUCAAGCAGUGGUGUAUGAAAAAAACCUUGACUAGAAGAGCAGCCAACAAUGUUCUCCCCCCACAUGAUGUCUUCUGGCAUUUAUGAGUUAUGGCUAUUGAGACCAGGAGGGCAUAUAGUGCUCGGCCCUGAGAUUUCAACGGUUCUAGUCAGGGUCCAUCUAAGAAGGCUGCUUCCUCAUUUGCUUCUGGAUCUUCAGCUGGUAGUGGAUCGAGUUCUCGGCACAGAGUUAGGGGACCCUUAGGAGGCCUUUCCUGAGCCAGUUGGGUAGACAGCAGACUGGACAAUUUGGUACUGGUGUCAGCUUCCAGGGUGGGACAUCUGGUGGUCAGACUUUUUCCUUUGGGUAGUAGCAGUCUACGGGGUGUUUUGAGUGUGGUAGUUAGGAUCACUUCAGGAGAUAUUGUCCCUUACUGGCUUAGGGGACCGCCCUCACCCAUGCUCAUCCAGUCGGACAGUCUUCAACCAGAGGCUCCAACAGUGGUACUCAUGUCAAUUCAGCAGCUAGAGGCGGCUCUCAGCAAGGUAGUGGUUAGCGUCGAUGUCCCAUGACUCGCGCUAGACUUCAUGUUAUGACUCAGCAGGAUGGUCGUACUUCGCCAAAGGAUGGGAGGACUAGGAAAGAUAAUGAUGAUGAAAUGGUGCCUCCACAUGAAUGGCUGGCUGGAAAGCUAGAAGCCUGCAUCAUGCCAAAAAAACCUAGCAAGAAACCAGCAUUAUGUGGAUGGCUAAAAAGCCAGCAAGGAAGCAAGCAAGAAUGUAUUUGAAGUGGUGAUUUGCUCUAAAGCCAACUGAUAUAAAUUAAAAAUAAAUAAAUUGAAGGAUAUUUUAUGAUUCUUCAGGUCCUUGUAGGUUUGGAUCCAUUCUAUUUCUCAUUCAAGUUAUAUUUUUCAAUCACUUGAUUGUUUGACGAGUUUAGUUUUA